UUUCUGCAGAGGUUUGGUGUUCCUGGGUUUGGGGUGAAGCUUUCUGCAGAGGUUUGGUGUUACUGGGUUUGGGGUGAAGCUUUCUGCAGAGGUUUGGUGUUCCUGGGUUUGGGGUGAAGCUUUCUGCAGAGGUUUGGUGUUCCUGGGUUUGGGGUGAAGCUUUCUGCAGAGGUUUGGUGUUCCUGGGGUUGGGGUGAAGCUUUCUGAAAUUUUAUGGUGGCAUUCUGUGUGCCAUGGCUGUCUCAGCUGUGGCAUGUGCCGUGACAUUACACCCCAUGAACUCCUGGAUGCUACAAAACCUCAUCAGUUUUUUACUGCUGGAGAUUUUUGUCAUGCCUUCUCUAGGUUUGGGGGUUUUUAUUCAUCUCCAGAGUUCUUCCUUUCUUUGUUGUAUGCUGAACUGAUUAGUGAGGUUGCUAACCUGCAGGUGAGACUUGUUUUCUUUGAAAGGAGACUCAGGCUAGAUAGGGGAGGAGCUGCUUCUUGAUCUCUUUCUUCACCCUUGGCUGCUGAUAAGCCUUGGAGGGGCAGGGGAGGAUUGCUCCUCCCCAGGGAGGAUGAGCAUGCACAGGUGAGGAGAGUUAGAGUGGGAUGCUGGAGAGGCCAGAGAGUGGGACAGAGGAUGUGAGAGGCAGGUUGGAGAGAAAGAAGCUGAAGAGGAGUAGGAAACUUCUGUGCCAAGGAGCUGCUGCACUGUCCUGGAGAUGGUAGAAAUUGUGAAGAUCUGGAGGUUUGGUUCAGCCAGCACUUCUCUGUGGUAAAGGAUUAUGGAAAAGUUUCAGCCUUCAGGAACAGCACUCAAGAGUUGCAGGGUGAUUCUGAGACCUGAUAUUGAGUUCAACAUUGAGUUAUUGAACUGCAGUUGGAUAUCCUGCACUGUUUUAUGAAGUAUUUAUCCAAGUCAGUGACUUCUGCUGAUAACUGAACACCAAAAAACUACUCCUCCUUCCUCUUAGCACUCCACAGAAAAACACAGGUUAAAGUGGUUUAUCUGCAAAGCAUUUACUGAGAUAUGGGCAUUGAAUAAGGUCAUCAAGAACUACUGCUGGCAAUGAACAGCACAGGACAAGAAAAUCUCUGUUACUGCCUAAGGAAUCUACUGCAUCAAAAAAUAAAUAUAUAUAU